rnacentral:rRNA from 1 species
UACGUAGGGUGCGAGCGUUAAUCGGAAUUACUGGGCGUAAAGCGUGCGCAGGCGGUUUUGUAAGCCAGAUGUGAAAGCCCCGGGCUUAACCUGGGAAUGGCAUUUGGGACUGCAAGGCUUGAGUGCGGAAGAGGAGUGUGGAAUUCCUGGUGUAGCGGUGAAAUGCGCAGAUAUCAGGAGGAACACCAAUGGCGAAGGCAGCACUCUGGGACGUGACUGACGCUGAGACGCGAAAGCGUGGGGAGCAAACAGG